UACGUAGGGGGCGAGCGUUGUCCGGAUUUACUGGGCGUAAAGGGUGAGUAGGCGGUUAUAUAUGUCAGAUGUAAAAGGCGCAGGCUUAACUUGUGUAAGCAUUUGAAACUGUAUAACUUGAGAGCAGGAGAGGUAAGCGGAAUUCCUAGUGUAGCGGUGAAAUGCGUAGAUAUUAGGAGGAACACCAGUGGCGAAGGCGGCUUACUGGACUGUAACUGACGCUGAGUCACGAAAGCGUGGGUAGCAAACAGG
rnacentral:rRNA from 1 species